UCACACAAAAAACACAUCAAACAAUCAAACAAUCCAAAAUAUAAUGUCCAGUUCAAUUAUACAGUCCAAAAGAAAAAUAAAAUGCGGAAAAAUAUAAACCUACGGUAUUCUUAACUACGCUCCAACGCUUUACCCGAUGCCUCGAGCCUUGAUCACGAACCUCCUUCAGAGACAUAAUACGUCAGGGUAUUCCCUGAUGAAUAAAUACAUAAAACCUCAGGGCAUUCCCCGAUGAAUAAAUACAUGAAACCUCAUGGCAUUCCCUGGCCAAAUGAUUACACUUGAAUCAAAGACGAUAAACUAGAAAACAUUCAACACACAUCCCACAAUCCAACAUUCAAUAAAAACACUAUUCCUAAAUUUUUGGCUACUCAAACCUACAUUUGUCUAUUUAUUCAACAUAUCAUAAUUCCAUCACUUUUAAUAUCAUCCAUACCUCAAAAUUAAUCGAUAUUUAUUUUCAUAUCAAUUCCCAACAUCCAACCCCAAAUUACAUUUUAAACAUACAACUUCCACGAGAUAAUUAUCCAUGCCUUAACAAGAAAACUCCUAUCACAAUCAAUUGUUCGACAUCAAACACCCGCCAAAUCACCCAAUUUCAAUCAUCAAGUGCAUAAACAUCAACGAAAUUAAACAAUCAUAAUCAACAAACACAUAAUUAUAGUCAAUUCAACAAAUCAAGAUAAAGAAAAGAGAACGGGUUUAAAAAAUGACCUUCCCAUGAUUGAUUUUCGUUGAUAAUAGUGUUUAAGAAAUCCGAGCUCGAAAUCCCGAAUAAAAAACCUCGAAGACGAACACACCAAAUCAGUGUAGAGAAAUCCAAUUCGAAGAAAUCCUCCCUGAUUCGAACAGACGAAUAAACCCGCAAAAAGAUCGAAUCAAUCGAAUAAAUUGAGAAAAAUCCGUGCACGAUUUCACCGACUCCCUUUCAAUCGUUUCUUCGCUCCUUUACUUCUCACUAUUCUAUUCCCUCUCUCGAUUUAUCUAUCGUUUCUCCAUUUCCUCUUCUUCAAUUUUUUUCCAAAAUCUCGUCUAGGUGUGUUAUAUCAAGAAGAGUCCAUUUUUCGUGGGAAUUUUGUGUUUCUGGGUAUAUUGAAUCUCAAAUCUGUGUGUGGUCGUGAGGGUGAGUCCCAAAAAGGAAAGAAGAAAAGAAGAUGACGGUGGACUACUCCCCUCAGAGAAUUGGGACCUCUGUGAGCAUAUAUCGUCCAGAAGAAGGAAAAAAGGGGGAAAAUAUGGAGUCCUUGCCUUCCUCUUUUUUUUAAUUUUUUUUGUCGCUGGAUCUUUCCUUUUUGGAGAUGAUUGAGAAUAUCCCCUUUUCCGAGAAAAAUGAGCUACAAGGCCUUUACAAGUUUCCAAUUAUAAAAAAAAAAAAAAUAGGAUAAGUGGACCACAAAUUUGUCCCUUACAAAAAC
rnacentral:lncRNA from 1 species